CAGGUCUUGACAUCCCUUGACAACUCCAGAGAUGGAGCGUUCCCUUCGGGGACAAGGUGACAGGUGGUGCAUGGUUGUCGUCAGCUCGUGUCGUGAGAUGUUGGGUUAAGUCCCGCAACGAGCGCAACCCUUAUUAUUAGUUGCCAGCAUUCAGUUGGGCACUCUAGUGAGACUGCCGGUGACAAACCGGAGGAAGGUGGGGAUGACGUCAAAUCAUCAUGCCCCUUAUGACCUGGGCUACACACGUGCUACAAUGGCGUAUACAACGAGUUGCCAACCCGCGAGGGUGAGCUAAUCUCUUAAAGUACGUCUCAGUUCGGAUUGUAGUCUGCAACUCGCCUACAUGAAGUCGGAAUCGCUAGUAAUCGCGGAUCACCACGCCGCGGUGAAUACGUUCCC
rnacentral:rRNA from 1 species